GCGCGCGGGGCGCGGGAGGGCGCGGAGGGGCGCGCACCCGUGGGACGCGGCCUGGGGAGGUUCCCGAGCGGAUGGGAGGGCCCCGGGGGACUGUACCCCCGCCCCGGCCGCUGCCCAGAGCAUCCGCUCUCCAUCCCCACGCGCGUUCCCAGGCUCCGGAGCCGAGCGAGGGAACCUCGGGACCCGGGCUUCCCCUCCUGUCCGUCCGACCCCCACCCGCCCCCAAGGAGUGCAGACCCGGCUGGAGGGUGCAGCCGGUGGCCCCUGACUGCCCACAGCUUGGCCGUUUCGGGAAAGUCGCGUCUCCUCCCAGGACCUCGGUGCCUUCUGCCAAGUAGAGGUGAUGAGGGGGCGCUCGGGUCGUGAACGGUGGUGAAGGAUGCGAGGUCAGCACCGCGCUCUGUACACGGGCCGGCCGGGGCUGCGCUGCAGGUGGCUUGUGCGCGCGCCCCUUUAGAAGAUCUUGGUGUGAUGCAGAUGUAUAAAACGCCCCUCGAGUGGAUCCCUACAGGGGUCCUCUCCCCUCCCUCGACUCCCCCGCCCCAUCACCCCCGCACACACUAGAGGAAAGAACUAGAACCAUCAUGGAGGGUUCCUGUGUCCAGGCACCACGAGACCACAUGAUUGGCGCCAUUUUGCAGAUGAGGAAACAGACAGUGGGAAGGACCCAGAUGGUACAGUCAGACUGCCCUGGAUGGAAAUUCUGACUCCUGCUCCUACAAAGGACCUUGGACAACUUAUGGAACUGAGACUCUUUCCUCACCUGUUUCCUCGAGUCAUGAGACUUAAAUGACACAAUGCAAUUGAAGUGCCUCACAGAGCCUAGUAUACAGUAGGUCUAAACAUAUGGCAGUUUCUUUUUCCCUCAGGAGCCUUCUGAGCUCCUAGUGUACUGCUGAACACACAGUAGGAGCACAAUAAACAUCCAGUGAUGAACUAAA